UGGGGAAUAUUGGACAAUGGGCGAAAGCCUGAUCCAGCCAUGCCGCGUGAGUGAUGAAGGCCUUCGGGUUGUAAAGCUCUGUCGAGGGGGAAGAAGAUCUGACGGUACCCCUCAAGAAAGCACCGGCUAACUCCGUGCCAGCAGCCGCGGUAAUACGGAGGGUGCAAGCGUUGUUCGGAAUUACUGGGCGUAAAGCGCACGCAGGCGGCGUGACAAGUCGAACGUGAAAUCCCUGGGCUCAACCCAGGAACUGCGCUCGAAACUGUCAUGCUUGAGUCCGGGAGAGGAUGGUGGAAUUCCUGGUGUAGAGGUGAAAUUCGUUGAUAUCAGGAGGAACACCGGCGGCGAAGGCGGCCAUCUGGCCCGGAACUGACGCUCAUGUGCGAAAGCGUGGGGAGCAAACAGG
rnacentral:rRNA from 1 species